rnacentral:rRNA from 1 species
UAGAGGAAGUAAAAGUCGUAACAAGGUUUCCGUAGGUGAACCUGCGGAAGGAUCAUUAUCGAGAUAGGGUCCCCCGGCGGGGCCCGACCCUCCACCCGAUGCGUACCGACCCCACCGUUGCUUUGACGGGCCGCGGGGCCCUCCGUGGUCCCCCGCUGGCGUUCGCGCGGGCGCGCGCCCGUCGAAGACCCCCCACAACCCCCCGUGAUCCGUGCCGUCCGAGCGUGACAAAAUCAAUUAAAACUUUCAACAACGGAUCUCUUGGUUCUGGCAUCGAUGAAGAACGCAGCGAAAUGCGAUAAGUAAUGUGAAUUGCAGAAUUCAGUGAAUCAUCGAAUCUUUGAACGCACAUUGCGCCCCCUGGCAUUCCGGGGGGCAUGCCUGUCCGAGCGUCAUUGCACCCCUCGAGCCCGGCUCGGUGAUGGGGGUCGCCCCGCGGGGUGCCCCCGAAAAGCAGCGCGCGAGGCCCCUGGACCGUCCGGCGAAGUCAAACGUGUUCGUUCCGCCGCGACGUCCAGGUGCCCCUGCCGAACAACCCGCUCCACGCAACCUUCGAUUGACCUCGGAUCAGGKAGGGAUACCCGCUGAACUUAAGCAUAUCAAUAAGCGGARGAA